rnacentral:misc_RNA from 1 species
CUCCACAAUUCAUUUUUAUGUGUUGGACUGAAAGAUAUUUAAAUGCUUUAAAACCCCUGGUUACGCCUAUGGUAGAUCUUUUAAAACAGUUGCUUCGUUCGCAACAGGUUGUGUUCUGUUGAGUUGUUUUAGGAAUGUCUGAGAACAUAGAACAGUGUGUGUCUUUUUCUGGCUCACGGUCUUUGUGUAGGUUCUUGUCUCGUAACUGAGUCAAUCUUGGUGUUCUUCGAUGUUCGUUUGGGGAUCGAAUGACAUUGAGGUAAGACGGAUGACAUUCGGUCUGUCCAUCUUGGUUUUUGGUCUUGACAACAGUGCUCGGUGUGUUGGCUAAUUCUGUUUCCAUCGGUUAGAAAAUACGGUCCAAGUUUGUGAAAAACUUAGCGUCUGGAAGAGUUUUGCCAGUGACGGAUUUGGGGCCGUAUAUUUUGUAGUGCCGGUGGAAAUUUUUAUCAGUUACGAGCAUAACCUCAACAACCUUCUCCGUUGGCCGCAUAACAACCUCAGGCCAACUUCCUGGGGACACACUUGGGGGACCAGUGGCUGUCCGCUCUCCAAGCAUCAGUACCCAGCACCAGUAACCAGCGUCAUUAAUCAGCACCAGUAGCCAGCCCUAGUAACCGACAUCUACAAGUACCAGAGUAAGCAAGGACAGAGAAAGUCAGUACCCUUAUAAUAUCUUUCUUUUUUUUCUUAUAUUAUACCAUAUUUUUUUAUACUCCAUAGUGUGUCUGUACCUACCAUCUUUGUACAGAUCUAGGUCUUCCCUCUACCCUCAUUUGUACACCUGGAUAUAGCUAUAACCAAGUAUUUACAGGGUGUAUAUUAAAUUGUACUUUGUUAAUUCCACGGGUAGACCUACAGAAGUAGGUAUUUGACACUAGAGGGUAUAAAUUAUUAUUCGCAUUAUUUUGGUAUAAGAUUAUAAAUAUAGUAUGGUACGGUACAUAUCUGAUUCUUGCUGAACGUGGGUAUAUUUUACUAUUCAGGGGUAGUGUAUAUUUAAUUGGCCAUAUUCCUAGGUAUUAAGUUGUAUACAUAUGUGAUAAGUUAGGGCCUUUUUAAGAUUUAACAGGACUUUAUAUUUAGUUUAUAAUUAAUAGUUGCAAUAGUCAUACAUUUUCUUAUAUUUUGUUGCAUUUCCCCCAUUUUGUUUCAUUUUAUGUUUUUCAUUGAUGUUCAAUAAAUUUUUGUAGUUA